rnacentral:rRNA from 1 species
CGUGUAGGCGGGACUGCAAGUCAGAUGUGAAAUCCCCGGGCUCAACCUGGGAACUGCAUUCAAAACUGUCGAGCUAGAGUAUGGUAGAGGGUGGUGGAAUUUCCUGUGUAGCGGUGAAAUGCGUAGAUAUAGGAAGGAACACCAGUGGCGAAGGCGACCACCUGGACUGAUACUGACACUGAGGUGCGAAAGCGUGGGGAGCAAACAGGAUUAGAUACCCUCGUA